rnacentral:misc_RNA from 1 species
ACUGUACAACAAACCCCAACCUCCUGUCCACAAAAGGGGGAAGAGCAGGAAGAGAUAAAGGGCUCUAAUCCUAUUUAAUUUCCACGCUUGCUUCUUUUGUUCUCUCUUCUAUGGGGACAACAUAAAUAUACAAGUUUGGUACCUCAAAUGUCAUGUUUGAAGGAUCAGCUGUACAUUGAAUCACUUGAAGCUAGCCUCCACAAUCAUAUGACUCCUUUCACAGCUCGGAUUAGGUUAUCAAAUCUGAUCUAAGGCACUCAACAUUUUACAAACAGCUUCACUGUCCACAGAUGCUACAAUGAAGGUCAAAAGAUACACUGGGAAGUAAGCUUCAUCUUUGUAACACUAGACCCAAGGGCGGACGGAGGUAAUAAGAUCAGCUGAUUGAUCUCGACAAUGGAUAAAGUUCUGCUCAAGAAGAUGCUAUUUUAUUUCCUAAAUUUCCCCCCGAUGGGUCCAUAUUGUGCAAAUCAGCUUCCUUCAAAGUUACCAACAUACACUGAUAGUAAACUAUGAAA